rnacentral:lncRNA from 1 species
AUAUUUGGCUAAAAUGGCCAGACAAACCUUUGUUAAACAGCAAGCACAGCAUGUAACCCAAUCUUCCUCUUCUGCCCAGGCAGUCCCCGGAUCCUAGCCCUCAGCUGCAGACGUUCCAAGAGAACUAAGGACCAUGAGGAUGGUGGCAGCCAAAAGACAGUGGAAGCAGGCCAAGGUGGUGGGGCUGAGGAAAGGCUACAGCGACAAGAGAAUCGCAACUUUGGUCCUGUCAGGUGUGUGUGAGGACAUGAUGUCUAGAGUUGCAAUAGCCAUCUUGUGACCAUAAUGAGAAACCUGAGGAUGAAAGCCACAUACCAAGCAUGAACGAGAAAGGACAGAAAGCAGUGGGGGCUUCAAACAUCACAGAGUCACCAAACCAAUUGUAAGACUGGCUAUCUUAGGACAUUCAGCUAAGAAAAUAGAUUCACUACUGGGCAUGGAGCCCUUUCCUCUCUACAGUUUCUUUACCGUCCAGAUCUGCCAGCUGCAAAGGGCAGCCAUUUGCACUCAGACACACCAGUUGUUCCCUUUUUCAUGAGGGCAAGAAACAAUGAAACAGGAUUGCCUCAGGCAGACCAAGACUGACUACGGCUCGCAUACUCAAUCUCUCUCCCUCCUAUACCACAUUUUAUAUUAGUUUCACACAUUAUCUCAUUUGAUGGGGAAGAAGGAUUGAGGAACACAAAGGUCCAGACUCUUCCCUCUGUUCAAGACAAUUCUGAAGGGCCAUCCCGGCUUCAGAACUCCCCACGAGAUCAGCUGAGGCCUCUGUUGCAACUGCAUCAUAAUCAUAAUCCGACAUCUCCUUCUGCCAACCUUGUUUCACUCCCACCCUUAGAGGUGUUGUUCCUGGUAGCAUCUCCCAAUAAAAUUCUUGCGUAUGUUGAAGAACAACCAGAGCUAGACAGUAGUUAAAAUUUUAUUCAAUAUUUUUUAAUUCAAUAUUGCAAUAUUAUUUAUUGUAAUAGGAGAAAAGAGAUCUCAGUAUAGAACUAAGCUCAGUUCCAAAAACAACAAGGACAAGUGGGGAUUUACAGCCAAGGAGCAGGGCAGGGGUCAGUGGAUGGAAAACUGCUAAGAGGAAACAUCAGGGGUCAGAGGGGAUCCUGACUAAACCGACCUGACAAGAUUCUUCUGACAGCAGGCCAGGGUGAUAAAAUAUCACCUGGGGGAUGCUAGGGGAUGAAGAAUUUGAUUAGAUAUCGAAGGUGAUCAAAUAUGCAGGGUGGGGGAUACUCUCUAAACUGACUCAACAGGAUUCUUGCUAAAACUGGGUGAUGCAGGCCUGACAAGGACAGACACUGAAGCCCAAGGUCAAAGCCUAGUUGAGAAGAGGCCUUAGAGGAUCCUGACUAGAGUCUGGUCAAGGAGAUAGUCUUUGUCACAUGAAAACUUCUGUCUCUUUCUUGGGGAAUCUGACUUAUGACAUCAACCUUGAAUUAUCAACCAACUAUUUUUCUAGGCAAGCAUGCACACACGCAUACACUUCUGUCUAUUUUU